GUGGGCUACGGUGACUUUUACCCUACCACAGUGUCCGGCUACUUCGUGGGCGUCCUCUGCGCUCUGUCCGGGCUGCUGCUCCUCUCCAUGCCCAUCGCAAUCAUCGCGUCCAAU
rfam:Biomphalaria glabrata isolate BB02 unplaced genomic scaffold LGTN_random_Scaffold837, whole genome shotgun sequence.